rnacentral:tRNA from 1 species
CAAAAUGUAGCUUAAUUUAAAGCUUUCCGCUUACACCGCAAGACUGUCUGUGUGACUCAGACCAUUUUGAGCCUAAAAUCUA